rnacentral:rRNA from 1 species
AUUAACUGAAUCCAUAGGUUAAUGAGGCGAACCGGGGGAACUGAAACAUCUAAGUACCCCGAGGAAAAGAAAUCAACCGAGAUUCCCCCAGUAGCGGCGAGCGAACGGGGAGGAGCCCAGAGCCUGAAUCAGUGUGUGUGUUAGUGGAAGCGUCUGGAAAGGCGCGCGAUACAGGGUGACAGCCCCGUACACAAAAAUGCACAUGCUGUGAGCUCGAUGAGUAGGGCGGGACACGUGGUAUCCUGUCUGAAUAUGGGGGGACCAUCCUCCAAGGCUAAAUACUCCUGACUGACCGAUAGUGAACCAGUACCGUGAGGGAAAGGCGAAAAGAACCCCGGCGAGGGGAGUGAAAAAGAACCUGAAACCGUGUACGUACAAGCAGUGGGAGCCUCUUUUAUGGGGUGACUGCGUACCUUUUGUAUAAUGGGUCAGCGACUUAUAUUCUGUAGCAAGGUUAACCGAAUAGGGGAGCCGAAGGGAAACCGAGUCUUAACUGGGCGUUAAGUUGCAGGGUAUAGACCCGAAACCCGGUGAUCUAGCCAUGGGCAGGUUGAAGGUUGGGUAACACUAACUGGAGGACCGAACCGACUAAUGUUGAAAAAUUAGCGGAUGACUUGUGGCUGGGGGUGAAAGGCCAAUCAAACCGGGAGAUAGCUGGUUCUCCCCGAAAGCUAUUUAGGUAGCGCCUCGUGAAUUCAUCUCCGGGGGUAGAGCACUGUUUCGGCAAGGGGGUCAUCCCGACUUACCAACCCGAUGCAAACUGCGAAUACCGGAGAAUGUUAUCACGGGAGACACACGGCGGGUGCUAACGUCCGUCGUGAAGAGGGAAACAACCCAGACCGCCAGCUAAGGUCCCAAAGUCAUGGUUAAGUGGGAAACGAUGUGGGAAGGCCCAGACAGCCAGGAUGUUGGCUUAGAAGCAGCCAUCAUUUAAAGAAAGCGUAAUAGCUCACUGGUCGAGUCGGCCUGCGCGGAAGAUGUAACGGGGCUAAACCAUGCACCGAAGCUGCGGCAGCGACGCUUAGGCGUUGUUGGGUAGGGGAGCGUUCUGUAAGCCUGCGAAGGUGUACUGUGAGGUAUGCUGGAGGUAUCAGAAGUGCGAAUGCUGACAUAAGUAACGAUAAAGCGGGUGAAAAGCCCGCUCGCCGGAAGACCAAGGGUUCCUGUCCAACGUUAAUCGGGGCAGGGUGAGUCGACCCCUAAGGCGAGGCCGAAAGGCGUAGUCGAUGGGAAACAGGUUAAUAUUCCUGUACUUGGUGUUACUGCGAAGGGGGGACGGAGAAGGCUAUGUUGGCCGGGCGACGGUUGUCCCGGUUUAAGCGUGUAGGCUGGUUUUCCAGGCAAAUCCGGAAAAUCAAGGCUGAGGCGUGAUGACGAGGCACUACGGUGCUGAAGCAACAAAUGCCCUGCUUCCAGGAAAAGCCUCUAAGCAUCAGGUAACAUCAAAUCGUACCCCAAACCGACACAGGUGGUCAGGUAGAGAAUACCAAGGCGCUUGAGAGAACUCGGGUGAAGGAACUAGGCAAAAUGGUGCCGUAACUUCGGGAGAAGGCACGCUGAUAUGUAGGUGAAGCGACUUGCUCGUGGAGCUGAAAUCAGUCGAAGAUACCAGCUGGCUGCAACUGUUUAUUAAAAACACAGCACUGUGCAAACACGAAAGUGGACGUAUACGGUGUGACGCCUGCCCGGUGCCGGAAGGUUAAUUGAUGGGGUCAGCGCAAGCGAAGCUCUUGAUCGAAGCCCCGGUAAACGGCGGCCGUAACUAUAACGGUCCUAAGGUAGCGAAAUUCCUUGUCGGGUAAGUUCCGACCUGCACGAAUGGCGUAAUGAUGGCCAGGCUGUCUCCACCCGAGACUCAGUGAAAUUGAACUCGCUGUGAAGAUGCAGUGUACCCGCGGCAAGACGGAAAGACCCCGUGAACCUUUACUAUAGCUUGACACUGAACAUUGAGCCUUGAUGUGUAGGAUAGGUGGGAGGCUUAGAAGUGUGGACGCCAGUCUGCAUGGAGCCGACCUUGAAAUACCACCCUUUAAUGUUUGAUGUUCUAACGUUGACCCGUGAUCCGGGUUGCGGACAGUGUCUGGUGGGUAGUUUGACUGGGGCGGUCUCCUCCUAAAGAGUAACGGAGGAGCACGAAGGUUGGCUAAUCCUGGUCGGACAUCAGGAGGUUAGUGCAAUGGCAUAAGCCAGCUUGACUGCGAGCGUGACGGCGCGAGCAGGUGCGAAAGCAGGUCAUAGUGAUCCGGUGGUUCUGAAUGGAAGGGCCAUCGCUCAACGGAUAAAAGGUACUCCGGGGAUAACAGGCUGAUACCGCCCAAGAGUUCAUAUCGACGGCGGUGUUUGGCACCUCGAUGUCGGCUCAUCACAUCCUGGGGCUGAAGUAGGUCCCAAGGGUAUGGCUGUUCGCCAUUUAAAGUGGUACGCGAGCUGGGUUUAGAACGUCGUGAGACAGUUCGGUCCCUAUCUGCCGUGGGCGCUGGAGAACUGAGGGGGGCUGCUCCUAGUACGAGAGGACCGGAGUGGACGCAUCACUGGUGUUCGGGUUGUCAUGCCAAUGGCACUGCCCGGUAGCUAAAUGCGGAAGAGAUAAGUGCUGAAAGCAUCUAAGCACGAAACUUGCCCCGAGAUGAGUUCUCCCUGACUCCUUGAGAGUCCUGAAGGAACGUUGAAGACGACGACGUUGAUAGGCCGGGUGUGUAAGCGCAGCGAUGCGUUGAGCUAACCGGUACUAAUGAACCGUGAGGCUUAACCUUACAACGCCGAAGGUGUUU